UACAGAGGUCUCAAGCGUUGUUCGGAUUCAUUGGGCGUAAAGGGCGCGUAGGCGGCGGGGUAAGUCGGGUGUGAAAUCUCAGAGCUCAACUCUGAAACUGCACUCGAUACUGCUCUGCUUGAGGACUGGAGAGGAGACUGGAAUUCACGGUGUAGCAGUGAAAUGCGUAGAGAUCCGGAGGAACACCAGAGGCGAAGGCGGCCUACUGGGCUGCACCUGACGCUGAACCGCGAAAGCUAGGGGAGCGAACGGG
rnacentral:rRNA from 1 species